rnacentral:rRNA from 1 species
UACAGAGGUGGCAAGCGUUGUUCGGAAUUACUGGGCGUAAAGCGUGCGCAGGCGGCUUUGCAAGACAGAUGUGAAAUCCCCGGGCUUAACCUGGGAACUGCAUUUGUGACUGCAUGGCUAGAGUGCGGCAGAGGGGGAUGGAAUUCCGCGUGUAGCAGUGAAAUGCGUAGAUAUGCGGAGGAACACCGAUGGCGAAGGCAAUCCCCUGGGCCUGCACUGACGCUCAUGCACGAAAGCGUGGGGAGCAAACAGG